UAUAAGAGGGACUUUAUGAAAACCUAGUUGGUUGAAAACCUAUCUGAUUCAAAAAAGGGAGCUAAAAGUCCCGAACUCAAAUAACAUAUUCUUAAAGAUAUCGCGUAUAAGGCGGAAGUCGAAAUAAGAUCAAAGAGGGUGUAAUAGACCGGUGGUACCGCGUAAAGUUAACACUUUACAGUUUUGUCAUAUAAACUAUAAUGAAUUUUAUCGCUUUCCAGGCACUCAUGGAAGACGAAAAAAACCCUAUAUGUGUAAAAAACCGAGUGUUUGUAGAUAGAGCGAUAUUAAAGUGAUGUUUACUCGACUGGUAACAUGUAGUAAAGGUCUUAUCAUGACAGGGAAAAAGAAAUCUAAGCUACCGGCAAAGAAAAAAGACUGCAAUCGUGUAGGCGUUGAUCGAAGAAUAAUAAUAUUACUGUACUGGAAACUGGUGGCCUGAAAGGUGUUAUACCAUACCCUUGCUGAAAGACUGUCUACUGGGUUUUAUUCGUUCAACAAGCCGUUGAUAGUAUUAAACUAGACGCCAUGACACUAGAUGUCUUGAAAAAACAUGAAAACAAAAAUAAAUACGAUUUCUAUCUUUGUUU